rnacentral:misc_RNA from 1 species
GGAAGUAAAAUAACAAGGUUUCCGUAGGUGAACCUGCGGAAGGAUCAUUAAUGAGUUGUCAUGGGGUUCGAUGCUGGCAGCCAGUUUUUGGAUGCAUGUGCUUGCCCUAACAAUCAUCUUCUUCCAAACACCUGUGCACAUUUUUGAGGGAGUCUUGAGUUGGUUGCCGCUCUUGGGUGAUUUUCUCACAUUCCCUUAAAUCAUUAUACGCUAUUAACAAUGUUGAACGUGCUCUGUGCCGCAAGGCCAUUAAUAUAAUACAACUUUUAACAACGGAUCUCUUGGCUCUC